ensembl:lncRNA
UUCCUCAGCCUAAAGCUUCUGUGUUUGUCAGUCCUCUGCCACAGAGAUCCACGACAGCUUCUCUGUGAUGAUAGCAAAGGCGUCCGGAGAGUCCCCUGAGCUGAUCAGCACCUCCUGGCCUGAGAUCAGACUCAUUCUCUCCUAUUCUGCGUAUCAAGUCAACAUCAGUGGCGUCAACAACGCCAGCAUCUCUCCUGCUGUGAGCCAGCUGAUACCACAGCGUGAAGGUGUGGGAGACGUGAGGCUGAACGUGACGGUGCACAGCAACACGUCUUUUACCAUCUACUGGAGGGACGACCUGAUCAGAACAUUCGUCUGCUUCUCUGUGGAGUGGUGGAAGAAGGGGCAAAAAGUGACUUACAUGUCCUUCUAUGAGAGCGACAGGAACCACAAGACGCUACAUCCGAAAGGUCUGGAGCCGUACCAGAGGUACAGCAUCACUCUGCACACACGGCCCAACAAGGACACCUGCAACAUGAAGCACAUCAACAACAGCGAGAGCACCUACAGCACCGCACACUUCUACUCUGUGCAAGGAUGUAAGUCAGACGUCCUCCUAUCCUCUUACCAGCACAAAAUGCUACAACUGAGUUUUUGUCCUUCGUCAAGCUCCCGUCAGCGCUCCCACAAACAUCAGCAGCCACAAUGUGACGCUGGAUUCGGUGGAGCUGCAGUGGGGCGCCAUCCCAGAGGAGGACAUCCGAGGUUUCCUGCUGGGUUACACCAUCCACUACACCGAGUACCAGCAAGGGGAGGCGAGCACGGAGAACAAUGUUAUAGUGGAUCCAGAGCUUAACAACUACAAACUGGAGAAUCUUAUAAGCAGCACAACGUACCGAGUGCAGAUAUCAGGCUUCACAUCUGCAGGAGUCGGAGUACGAAGCGAAGAACUCCUCUUCAAAACAAAUCGUGAAGGUUGGAUCAUUUAACAACCGUUCAUAAUUGAUUUUAAGAUCAUUAUAAUUUCAUAAAAUUCUUUUUGAAUAUUCUUUGCACAGCAGAUUUUAUUUCCAACAGUGUCAUCACCAUGUUGGCAGUUCUGACCACUCUGCUGAUAUUUGGAUCACCGAUACUAAAAAGGUAUUCGAGAUUAUUAUCAGAUUAUUACUCAGAUCAACUCUACACAACUCAUCCUUCUCCGCCCCCUCCUGUCUAUAGAGCAAAGGUCCUGCUGUGGCCGAGCAUACCGAACCCUAGGAAAAGCAAUGCACUGCAGAAAAUAGACAGGCCCUGUGAGCUGGUGAGUGUCGGUUUCUGCUUUUAAAAUGUGCACCAUCAGAAGCUGUGAGAUGCUCUGUGUUAUUUUCACCCAGGAACUCCUCGGGGCGAUCGACACCCUGAAGGUGGAAGAACGGGACACAGAAAGUCUUCAGCUAGUCGAAAAGGUGGCGGCGACCCCUGCUAGCACUUCACCGUCCACGAUACCACUCCUCCACCAUUCAGGAGACGAGACAGACUCAGCGGGAGCAACCUGCAACUGGAUGCAAACGGACACGGGAAGUAUGACCGGAGACUUCAUGUCUGAUGAGUUUAAAACCUUGGACACGCAGCGGACAGUCGUCCAGAGUUCACCUUUGACCUUUUCAAGCGAAUAUACCACGAUCGAGAUGUUCCAGCAGGCGAUGCCACAGCCAGCACCAUCAGUCUUAGAAGCAGAGGCCGCAGAUGUGACUGUGGUGCCAUCACGGAUGGACUACAUACGACAAUUCAGUUCCAGUCCGACUUCUGAGGGCGAGCACCUGUCCACAGUCUGCUGAGCCGUCAAUGCCUGAGAGACAGUUUCACUGCUCACUGGCUGCUGCAGGUCAACAGCAUGGAUUCGUAUGUGUGUUAAUGAUAAAUAGCAAUACUAAGAUUAGCUGGUUUUUUAUAUAAACGAGAGGUUGUUGUGGCUUCCUUCGAAGGUCGUGCAUAAAGAGUCAUCUAACUCGCUUGAAGUUAGCUACUACCACCAUAACACACCUGAGUCUCUGAUAAACUAGACUAUGGAUGAACUGGAUUGUGGGUAAUGUAGGCACCAACAUUUAGAAGGAUGUGUAAAAUAUAAAAACAUUUCUGGUUAAUGAAGGUGCCAAACAUCCAAGCAUUUUGUUGCAUACGUUAUAUAAACAGUUGAGUGUCGUCAGCAAAGUAAUGAACAUUAAUGAUUGCUUCACAUUAAAAUAUAUAUAUAUUUUAAUGAAGUUUGUUUCUCACUGAAACGUGGAGCAAACCAUCUGAAUGAAAAGUCUCUUUAUUGAGUGUUUUUGGAAACAAAUGAGACGUACUGAGAAGGACCACACACACCUACAUCCAAGCUCCUCAAACACAGCGCUACCAAACGUUUACACGCCGCCCCAAACACAUCACGCAGCCAAACCCAGUGGAGCUGGAGCACACAUCGUCAAACAACUUGCGUAGUGGAUAUAAAAAAUAAAACUCUUCACAUACUGUCAGUUUUUUUCAUGAGUUCCCAGGUUAAAUAAAAGCAGCGUUCAAAAUCAGCUCGAUCAAGAUCUGAGGCCGGAUAUUUACAACAAAGAUCACAAUACUGCAAAAUCAAACAUGUUAAAACAGAGGCAUGAGUCCUCAGUCUACUCUGCUACUAAUGACUACAAUACUUUAAUAUAACAUCUCAUUAGUUUCAUCUAUUCAACGUCUAAAACAAUAUUUUCAUAGAAUAUUCUGUACAAUCUUAGUCGAGGCACUUUUUGACCCUCCUGUGCUUGCAUGCAGUCUGUUGUCCUCUCACUGUGAACUUCCUGUUUUCUCCACUAACACAAGCUGAAUCGCACUCCAUCAUUUUACAGUAUCGGCCUGUGUCACAUGUAUAAACAGGUUGUUUUUUCCCCCCUCACAGUAUUACGAUAGCAGGACGAUGAACCGUGACAUCUACUAAAUCAGAAAUAUUACAAAAAGCAAAUACCCAUUAAAAAAACAAGUAAAGCAACACAUUCGUGUUUUUCUUUUACAACAGCAAGAACAUAAUACCAAUCUGGAAUCUCAUGAUUACAGGUCAUAAAUAAGCCAUACAGCUUCCCAAAUGAUGAUGAUGGUGAUGAGUGCAGACAGGGGAAUGGAGGAGUUUAUUCAGACAAAGAAAGGGUCAGUGAGCACUUCAGCAGAAACUUUCUUUUAUAAGCUGUCAGGGCGGUUUGGACUUAACUCUAAAUAAACAGACUGAUGAUGGUGAAGUCUGUUACAGCCGAGCAGUGAGGAGCAUGCGGCAUGGGAAACUCAAGAAUUCUGCUUAAAUUUGGGCAUAGUCUGAUGUGCAACUUCCCAAAAAUAAACAACACUUCAUGACCACACUGAACUGUUACAACUGCGGUUGGUCUGCGUUUUUUUGCACCUCAUUUCCUCCCAUGCAACUGAGCAGAUUAUGUCAUAUUGGAAGCCACUAGACAACCAACACUGAUGGAAAAAAAGGUCAGAAUAUGGGCCAAGCAGCGGAGCUGAGAAGUUUACUCCUGCUGUACAGCUGGACAUUUUAAAAGAGUGCCUACAGUGACUGACUUUCAGAUAAACACCAUCAUUUUAUUUGCUUCAACUACAGCAUGAUUUACUUACAAAUAAAAUGUGAACCUGCAGCCAAACAGAGCCAGGUGCAAGAUAUCAAGUCUCUAUUUCUACUAAAUUGCAGCCUGUUUACCAUUUAAUCCCAGAAAUUAGCACAACUUUUCCGAGAAAUCUGGAUCCGUACAUGUCAUCGAGCUUAAGAAUGUUUUUUGAACUUGGUUGGUUUUGUGUCUGCUCAGCUGAGUGCUCACUCACCCUUUAUAAGCCUAUAUAAGAGAGCUCCUGCAUAAAUGAGGAGAACAUGAAGAGAAGGACAGUUGUGUUGAUUCAGUUUACGUACGGUGAGAUACUUUGCUGGAACAGGGUGCUGUUAGAGUCACUUGGCGCUGUCCGCACCCACAAAUGCAUCCUCCUCGCCGUGUGUCUUGUAGCUGCCGUUGUGCUGGGCGCACGGUGACAACGCCAUGUCCUCGCUUGGCGUGGCCGAGUCUUCUCUGUCGCUUUCAUAUUCCUCCCUCUCCUCUCUGUUGUAGUCCACCUGAAACAACGAGCGAACCAUCAAAGUUGGGAAGAACGGUGGACAGCCGCACACUGUUCUCUUCCUCUCCUUCCUGAAGGCCUCACUGUCAUCGCCUUGUCUUUA